UGCCAGAACUCAAAUGAACGUAUGGGUUCGACGGGUGGCGUCGUAUGCGUCCGGGACGCUGUGCGAGAUGAUGCCGCCCGUCCAUUCCAGUGGGCGGGUUCGGACCGUUUGCGAAUUUCGACGGCGGUGGCGGUAUUGAUCAAGACUGCUGAUGCUGCUGCUGGUAUUACAACCCCCAGUCGGUAUACGAGGGGGAGGUCGGUGCACGAGAGGGGAGAAUAGACAAGAAGUACAUAGUGUACGAGGACGGAAACGGCCGACG